rfam:Otolemur garnettii contig023370, whole genome shotgun sequence.
UUUUUAGUAUAAGUAUUUCCCAUACAACAUUUGGAACAUACUUAUACUAAAA